CUCACCAGGUCAGGACACGGUAAGGAUUGACGGACUGAAGGCUCUUUCUCGAUUCCGUGGAAAGUGGUGCAUGGCCGUUUUUGGUUGGUGGAUCGAUCCGUCUGGUUAAUUCCGUUAACGAACGAGACCUCGGCACUCCGAAUAGCGCGGCGGACGUCGCGGCCUCCGGGGCCGUCUUCCGCACGAGCUUCUUAGAGGGACCGUCCCCCGCCGGGGAAGGAGGUGCGAGGCAACGACAGGUCUGUGAUGCCCUUAGAUGUUCUGGGCCGCACGCGCAUUACACUGACGCGUCCAACGGGUGACUCCCGACCCGAAGGGGCCGGGGAAUCCGCAAGGCGCGUCGUGAUGGGGAUUGAACGUUGCAAUUGUUGUUCACGAACGAGGAAUUCCUAGUAGGCGCGGGUCAUCAACCCGCGCCGAUUACGUCCCUGCC
rnacentral:rRNA from 1 species